GACGAACGCUGGCGGCGUGCCUAAUACAUGCAAGUCGAGCGGACGGAUGGGAGCUUGCUCCCAGACCGUCAGCGGCGGACGGGUGAGUAACACGUGGGCAACCUGCCUGUAAGACUGGGAUAACUCCGGGAAACCGGGGCUAAUACCGGAUAACUCUUUCCCUCACAUGAGGGAAAGCUGAAAGAUGGCAUCUCGCUAUCACUUACAGAUGGGCCCGCGGCGCAUUAGCUAGUUGGGGAGGUAACGGCUCACCAAGGCGACGAUGCGUAGCCGACCUGAGAGGGUGAUCGGCCACACUGGGACUGAGACACGGCCCAGACUCCUACGGGAGGCAGCAGUAGGGAAUCUUCCGCAAUGGACGAAAGUCUGACGGAGCAACGCCGCGUGAGUGAUGAAGGUUUUCGGAUCGUAAAACUCUGUUGUCAGGGAAGAACAAGUACCGGAGUAACUGCCGGUACCUUGACGGUACCUGACCAGAAAGCCACGGCUAACUACGUG
rnacentral:rRNA from 1 species